UAGGGAAUCUUCCGCAAUGGGCGAAAGCCUGACGGAGCAACGCCGCGUGAGUGAUGAAGGUCUUCGGAUCGUAAAACUCUGUUAUUAGGGAAGAACAAAUGUGUAAGUAACUAUGCACGUCUUGACGGUACCUAAUCAGAAAGCCACGGCUAACUACGUGCCAGCAGCCGCGGUAAUACGUAGGUGGCAAGCGUUAUCCGGAAUUAUUGGGCGUAAAGCGCGCGUAGGCGGUUUUUUAAGUCUGAUGUGAAAGCCCACGGCUCAACCGUGGAGGGUCAUUGGGAACUGGAAAACUUGAGUGCAGAAGAGGUAAGUGGAAUUCCAUGUGUAGCGGUGAAAUGCGCAGAGAUAUGGAGGAACACCAGUGGCGAAGGCGACUUUCUGGUCUGUAACUGACGCUGAUGUGCGAAAGCGUGGGGAUCAAACAGG
rnacentral:rRNA from 1 species